rnacentral:rRNA from 1 species
AGUGGCGGACGGGUGAGUAACGCGUGGGUAACCUGCCUCAUACAGGGGGAUAACAGUUAGAAAUGACUGCUAAUACCGCAUAAGACUACAGCACCGCAUGGUGCAGGGGUAAAAACUCCGGUGGUAUGAGAUGGACCCGCGUCUGAUUAGGUAGUUGGUGGGGUAACGGCCUACCAAGCCGACGAUCAGUAGCCGACCUGAGAGGGUGACCGGCCACAUUGGGACUGAGACACGGUCCAA